AACCCAACAGGGGAUUGCCUUAGUAACUGCGAGUGAAGCGGCAAAAGCUCAAAUUUGAAAUCUGGCGUCUUUGGCGUCCGAGUUGUAAUUUGGAGAGAUAUCUUCGGAGAUGCCGCCGUCUUAAGUUCCUUGGAACAGGACGUCAUAGAGGGUGAGAAUCCCGUGCCUGGGCGGCUGUGCAGCUCCAUGUGAAGUGUCUUCAACGAGUCGAGUUGUUUGGGAAUGCAGCUCAAAAUGGGUGGUAAAUUUCAUCUAAAGCUAAAUAUUGGCGAGAGACCGAUAGCGCACAAGUAGAGUGAUCGAAAGAUGAAAAGCACUUUGAAAAGAGAGUUAAAAAGUACGUGAAAUUGUUGAAAGGGAAGCGCUUGCGACCAGAUUCGUUCUUUGGUGAUCAUCCGUGCUUCGGUGCGGUGCCAUUGCCAUUGAACGGGCCAGCAUCAGUUCUGACGGUGGGUUAAAAGGAUGGGAAAUGUGGCUCUCUUCGGGGAGUGUUAUAGUCCCGUUCACAAUGCCACCAGUUGGGACUGAGGACCGCGCUUCGGCUAGGAUGCUGGCGUAAUGGUCUUAAGCGACCCGUCUUGAAACACGGACCAAGGAGUCUAACAUCUAUGCGAGUGUUCGGGUGGAAAACCCUUGCGCGUAAUGAAAGUGAACGGAGGUGUGAACCCUUUGGGUGCAACAUCGACCGGUCCUGAUGUCUUCGGAAGGAUCUGAGUAAGAGCAUAGCUGUUGGGACCCGAAAGAUGGUGAACUAUGCCUGAAUAGGGUGAAGCCAGAGGAAACUCUGGUGGAGGCUCGCAGCGGUUCUGACGUGCAAAUCGAUCGUCAAAUUUGGGUAUAGGGGCGAAAGACUAAUCGAACCAUCUAGUAGCUGGUUCCUGCCGAAGUUUCCCUCAGGAAAAA
rnacentral:rRNA from 1 species